UUGUUUUUCUCGGAAAGGCCAAAAGCAGUAAAGUCGCCAUUAAUACGUGCAUCUCUUUAUUCCACUUUUCUCUACAUGCAGUAAAGUUCUAUCUCUAUUUCUCUACAUUCUGUGAGAUGUUCUAAUAAUGGCUUGGAGUUCCUUGAGAACUCUCUUGCAAAGCCCUAAUAUCAAACUCUCUUGCAAACCCUAAUCUUCGCAGCCGCAUCUCUUCUCCCCUCGGAAUGAAACUAAAGGGCAAUUUUGGAGCAAAAGAAGGCUGAUAAGAAAAUGGGGUAGUUGGCAGAAGAUCAAAAGGAUGCUGUUGGAGCUUUGUAAAGCCUGAAGAAUGAAGAUGGAAUUGUAGAGAAGGAAGGAAAG